UGCGACGAACAUGCCGGGGGAGGCUAGCCUACCCGUGCAAUGCAAUGACCCACCCACCACAAAGAGGCGACGGUCAACACGCAUCCGACGUCCUUCUGUAUCUACAAAGACUCCGUACACCAAGGGGAGGGCGAAGAGAGUGAAGAAAUGAGGUAUUUUAGGCGUAAUUUGACAUUAUUUCAAGUUUGUGUGGAGUUCGUCUUUGCGUAGUCAUACGUUUACGUUAUUCUAAAUGAGCAUGUCGAAUAUUAUACGAAUAUUCUCCGAACUGUUCAUAUCACAUGCAAUUGAAACAUUAUGUUGUCGGAUUCUAUCACGUUCAGUCGAAUAUCUGUAAAGGAGCAUUUCGAAGGGGUUUGGGUCCAUUUUUGCAAUUAAAUGGGUUGGGUUCGGUUAUAUUUACCCCAUUUUCUGUCCGGUUAGGUUGGGUUAUGGGUUAACCCUUUAACCCAACCCGAAGCCGACCAACCCAACCCAUAUACAAAAGUUAAUUUUAAAAAUGUGUAGAAAUUAUAAAACGAGUAUAAGGUCCCUCCCUUUUCCCUGACCCUUCCCAUUCCCAUUUUCCAUUUCCCCCUCAGAGAAAACCUAGUCUCCUCUAAUCCAUCACGAAGUCGGUAGUCGCCCUUUCUAUUGUUGAUUCUAACACUGAGUAUUUAUCACUCUUUCGGUGUUUUGAUAUUUGAUAUUGUGGGGAGAAAAUGCUGAAAAUCUCAGCUUUCUACGAACGAAGGUGAGAAAUUUUGUUCCGCCUCUGUCGCUGCCGGUAUCCGACUUCAAUCCCCCACCGUCCUAUGCUACCAUAUAGGUGAGUAUUUUUCUUUAACCUAGAUUCACUUCCUUUAUCCUUAAUAUCUGAUAUAGUUGAAGUUUUUUAAGAAUUGAUUAUGCUUUGUUUCUUUAGCAUGUUUGGACUUUUAUUGGUAUUCGUAGUUCCAUUUCAAUUGUAUGGUUCUUGGAAGACAAUUUUCUAAGUAUUCGUAUUUGUAUAUGAAAAUCACUGGAUUGGAUGUGUGCUGUUGAUUGCUUCUGAAUUGGGUUGGAUGACCGAACGAGAUGAGUUUCGUGGGUUAAUGUUGCAUUGAAGUGACAAUAAGUUGACUGGGAAUGUAUCUAUAUAUUUCAUGUGGCUUGUCAAAUUUAGCACUCCAAUUUU
rnacentral:lncRNA from 1 species